GAUGAACGCUGGCGGCGUGCCUAAUACAUGCAAGUCGAGCGAACAGACGAGGAGCUUGCUCCUCUGACGUUAGCGGCGGACGGGUGAGUAACACGUGGAUAACCUACCUAUAAGACUGGGAUAACUUCGGGAAACCGGAGCUAAUACCGGAUAAUAUAUUGAACCGCAUGGUUCAAUAGUGAAAGACGGUUUUGCUGUCACUUAUAGAUGGAUCCGCGCCGCAUUAGCUAGUUGGUAAGGUAACGGCUUACCAAGGCAACGAUGCGUAGCCGACCUGAGAGGGUGAUCGGCCACACUGGAACUGAGACACGGUCCCAGCUCCAUAGGGAGGCAGCAGUAGGGAAUCUUCCGCAAUGGGCGAAAGCCUGACGGAGCAACGCCGCGUGAGUGAUGAAGGUCUUCGGAUCGUAAAACUCUGUUAUUAGGGAAGAACAAAUGUGUAAGUAACUAUGCACGUCUUGACGGUACCUAAUCAGAAAGCCACGGCUAACUACGUG
rnacentral:rRNA from 1 species